UACGUAGGGUCCGAGCGUUGUCCGGAGUUACUGGGCGUAAAGCGCGCGCAGGCGGCCCGCCAAGACCGGCGUGAAAGCCCCCGGCUCAACCGGGGAGGGUCGUCGGUGACUGGCGGGCUCGAGGACGGCAGGGGUCGGUGGAAUGCCCGGUGUAGUGGUGAAAUGCGUAGAGAUCGGGCGGAACACCCGUGGCGAAGGCGGCCGACUGGGCCGGUCCUGACGCUGAGGCGCGAAGGCGUGGGGAGCGAAC
rnacentral:rRNA from 2 species